AUGGCAUCAUUCGACAUUGAAACUCCGGUGGAUAGAGAUGGGCACGCGCCAGAUUAGAUAGUUGGUGAGUACGGCUCACAAGUCUAAGACUUUAAGGGGCUGAGAGGUGAUCCCCCAAUGGUACUGAGACACGGACCAAAAUCCUACGGGAAGCACAGUGAGAAUAUUGGACAUGGGUGAAGCUGAUCAGCAUCCCGGUGAAGAGAAUGGCCUAUGGGUUGUAAAUUCCUUUGUAUANGGAUUAACUUAACCUCGUGAGGUAGUGAANGUACUAUAGAAUAAGCACGGGUUAAUUCCGUGCAGCAGACCGGGUAAUACGGAGGGUGCAGCGUUAUCCGGAUUUAUGGGUUUAAGGGUCCGUAGGGGAUCUGUAAGUCCAGGGUGAAAUCUCACAGUUUAAUUGUGAAAUGCAUUGAUAAUGGGUCUGAGUGUUGGUUGAAAGUAGUGGGAAUAAGUAGUUGUAGGGUGAAAUGGCUUAGAUUUUUACUUUAGAACACCAAUUGGGAAGGGCAGGUUACUUAAGCAAAAAUGGAGCUUAUGANAAAGGCGUGGGGACGACGGAUUAGAUACCUGGUAGUCAGGCGGUAAAGAGGCUACUCG
rnacentral:rRNA from 1 species